GGGGACAUAGCUCAGUAGGUAGAGUGCUUGCCUUGCAUGUCCAAGGCCCUGGGUUCAAUCCCCAGCACCACCA
rnacentral:tRNA from 1 species